CAGAUCGCAAUGAGAAAGAAAAGUAGCUUCUUUUAAAACCACAGCGAGUUCCGUGAGGUGUGAGGGGACGGUUUAAUUAAAACAAGCGAAGAUCACUUUCGAGUCUAAUUCUUAAUCAUAGUAAGAGUUAGUGGGAACACCCAUUAUAGUGUCUAUGUAUCGCCAUUUUGGCCGUACAUGUAAGGUAUUGUUUAGUAAUUACAAUACGAAGAUAGGGUGGUACCACGCUUGAGCGUCCCUUAG
rnacentral:ncRNA from 1 species